rnacentral:rRNA from 1 species
AGUGAACGCUGGCGGUAGGCCUAACGCAUGCAAGUCGAACGGCAGCACAGUAAGAGCUUGCUCUUACGGGUGGCGAGUGGCGGACGGGUGAGGAAUACAUCGGAAUCUACUUUUUCGUGGGGGAUAACGUAGGGAAACUUACGCUAAUACCGCAUACGACCUACGGGUGAAAGCAGGGGAUCUUCGGACCUUGCGCGAUUGAAUGAGCCGAUGUCGGAUUAGCUAGUUGGCGGGGUAAAGGCCCACCAAGGCGACGAUCCGUAGCUGGUCUGAGAGGAUGAUCAGCCACACUGGAACUGAGACACGGUCCAGACUCCUACGGGAGGCAGCAGUGGGGAAUAUUGGACAAUGGGCGCAAGCCUGAUCCAGCCAUACCGCGUGGGUAAAGAAGGCCUUCGGGUUGUAAAGCCCUUUUGUUGGGAAAGAAAAGCAGCAGGUUAAUACCCCGCUGUUCUGACGGUACCCAAAGAAUAAGCACCGGCUAACUUCGUG